rnacentral:lncRNA from 1 species
GUUUGAUAAUUGUACGGCUCUUCCCCUGCUCUCGCUCUCUCUCGCUGUCUCUCUCUCUCCCUCCCUCCCUCUUUCACCUGCCUCUCUCUCUCCCCCUCUCCCCGUCUCCCCUUCUCCUCCUCUCCCUUUCUCCCUCUCUCCUGACACCAUGUAAGACAUGCCUUGCUUCGCCUUCACCUUCUGCCAUGAUUCUAAGUUUCCUGAGACCUCCCCAGCCACGCAGAACGCUCUGCGAAGGCACGCGCUGAAAAUCACACAGCUGGAAAUGGUGAAUCCAAGCUGCCCAGUACCAGAGGGCGGGCACUUAACCCUCCACACACCCCAGUCUUUCCAGUAGAAACUACCUCAACAGGCUGUGGUAGGAGUUAGACGAGAUGACACAUAUGAAUCACUUGGACACCAUGUUCAGCAAGUGGGUUUUAUGAGACCAGAGGUAAUUCCCUGCUGCUGUUCAGCGUUGCUGUGGCUAACAGUUCCAACCUUCUGAAGUGCCGGCUGGUUGGGGCUGUCUCUCUGGCAACUGAUUAGCCCAUAAACCCUGCCUUGCUGGUCCUGCAGCGUUCUCCAGUGCAAGUGACUGAAAGCAUGCCUUUCCCAAAAAGGAAAAUAUAAUGUAAUGCAUGCCAAGCAUAGAUUAUCUCAGAAAAUCCACACAAUUAAUCUAUGCAUUGGGGCUUAUUUUCCUCAUUUUGAUAAGGAGACUGGGACUCAGAGAAAAAGUGAUGUGCCCAAAGUCACACAGCUGGUGAGUGUGAUGGCAAGAUUCAAGUGCAGGCUUGGCCUCUUCAGCACUAAGCCAUGCUUCAAUUGUGGCUGGUAUUGGUUAAGGUGAUUGUAGUCACUAGUACUGGACACCAACAGCUGCUGGCUAAAUAAAUAAGAAACAAUCCAGAAGGCAAGGAGAAUGUUUUAUAUUUACUAGACGAUUUCUAGAAGAACUAUCAGAAUGCAAUAAAAAGCUGCACCCCAGGUGAAAAGGAAGCAGGGCAGUGAGGCCUGAGCAGCAGGAUUUGUGGACUUUCCAGGGCACCUGGUGCCAACUUAUGGCUUCAGUGAAUCAAAGUUACAAAACUCCUGGGGAAAAAAAGACUAUUCCAGCUUGAUUUGGUGUACUCCCAAGGUCAGUGAGCUUGGCCAGCAGGUCAUGGGCACGAGCGGAGACAAAGAUUGUCAGGCCUCUGAGCCCAAGCCAAGCCAUCACAUCCCCUGUGACUUGCACGUAUACAUCCAGAUGGCCUGAAGUAACUGAAGAUCCACAAAAGAAGUAAAAAUAGCCUUAACUGAUGACACUCCACCAAUGUGAUUUGUUCCUGCCCCACCCUAACUGAUUAAUGUACUUUGUAAUCUCCCCCACCCUUGAGAAUGUACUGAGAUCCACCCCUGCCUGCACAACAUUGCUCUUAACUUCACCACCUAUCCCAAAACCUAUAAGAACUAAUGAUAAUCCACCACCCUUUGCUAACUCUCUUUUCGGACUCGGCCCACCUGCACCCAGGUGAAAUAAACAG